ACGAGGGAUGCAAGCGUUAUCCGGAAUUAUUGGGCGUAAAGAGUUUGUAGGCGGACAGGUAUGUUUAAUGUUAAAUGUUAAAGCUUAACUUUGAAACUGCAUUAAAAACUGCUUGUCUAGAGUAUGGUAGGGGUAAAGGGAAUUCCCAGUGUAGCGGUGAAAUGCGUAGAUAUUGGGAAGAACACUAAACAGCGAAGGCACUUUGCUAGGCUAAUACUGACGCUGAGAAACGAAAGGUAAGGUAGCGAAACGGAUUAGAUACCCGUGUAGUCUUACCCGUAAACUAUGGACACUAAAUGGUACUUAAUGUGCUGUUGUAGCUAACGCGUUAAGUGUCCCGCCUGGGGAGUAUGCUUGCAAAAGUG
rnacentral:rRNA from 1 species